rnacentral:tRNA from 1 species
GCCGGAGUAGCUCAGUUGGUAGAGCAACGGUUUUGUAAACCGUAGGCCGUGGGUUCGAGUCCCUCCUCCGGCU